UUGAAUGGUCUUUGACCUUCUACCCCUCAAACCUGUGGAAGCAAAAAAUGUGCUUCGGCGUCCGUUUUGGGCGCCGCUUUUAUGCAUAAAUCUGUGUGUUGUCUGAAUCAUACACAAGAAUCA
rnacentral:misc_RNA from 1 species